rnacentral:rRNA from 1 species
CGGGCGCAGCAGGCGCGAAAACUGCACAAUGUGGGAAACCACGAUGCGGGAAACCCAAGUGCCAGCACUAUGUGUUGGCUGUCCUCGACUGUUCGUAAGUCGGGAAGAAAGAGCUGGGUAAGACGGGUGCCAGCCGCCGCGGUAAUACCCGCAGCUCAAGUGGUGGUCAUUAUUAUUGGGCCUAAAGCGUCCGUAGCUGGUUUGUUAAAUGCCUGGGUAAAUCGAUGCGCUUAACGUAUCGAAUUCCGGGUAGACUGGCAAACUCGAGACCGGGAGAGGUGUAGGCUACUCGAGGGGUAGGGGUAAAAUCCUGUAAUCCUUCGGGGAGGACCAGUGGCGAAGGCGCUACACUAGAACGGCUCUGACAGUGAGGGACGAAGCCCUGGGGCGCAAACCGGAUUAGAUACCCGGGUAGUCCAGGGUGUAAACGCUGCAGACUUGGUGUCGCUGAUCCUACGAGGGUUGGCGGUGCCGUAGAGAAGUUGUUUAGUCUGCCGCCUGGGGAGUACGGUCGCAAGACUGAAACUUAAAGGAAUUUGGCGGGGGAG